UUAACAUUAUCAAUUUGAUUGAUCAAUUAGGACAAUAGGUUUUGUCAUGGAUGGAGAGUUGAGCUAAGAUUUGAUCUUGCACUCAUUCCCGGACUCCUUUCACAAUUGUUUUGAAUUUUUCAUAUGAACAAGCUAGAUUUCAGCCUCGCUGAUUUGCAUAACAUGUUGAAAAAUGUUGGGAGUCACUUUCCAACCAAGAAAGACCAUGUCUUACUGGUAGGGGCCAAAUGAUCUUCUGAAAAGAAGAACGAUUCUAAGAAGGUAAAUAGAAAGGCAAAACAAAGGAUAAUAAGAACAAAACUGACACGGAUAGCAAAAGAGUUUGCUUCCACUGCAAUAAGCCUGGACACUGGAAAGAAACUGCGAGAAGCAUCUUGCAGAGGCUAACCAAAGAAGCUUAGUGAAGUUUCGAUUACAAAUAUAAAUUUGUUCAUGA
rnacentral:lncRNA from 1 species